AUUGAACGCUGGCGGCAUGCUUUACACAUGCAAGUCGAACGGCAGCGCGGGCUUCGGCCUGGCGGCGAGUGGCGAACGGGUGAGUAAUACAUCGGAACGUGCCCAGUAGUGGGGGAUAGCUCGGCGAAAGCCGGAUUAAUACCGCAUACGACCUGAGGGUGAAAGCGGGGGAUCUUCGGACCUCGCGCUAUUGGAGCGGCCGAUGGCAGAUUAGCUAGUUGGUGGGGUAAAGGCCUACCAAGGCGACGAUCUGUAGCUGGUCUGAGAGGACGACCAGCCACACUGUGACUGUGAGACGGCCCAGACUCCUACGGGAGGCAGCAGUGUGGAAUUUUGGACAAUGGGCGAAAGCCUGAUCCAGCAAUGCCGCGUGUGUGAUGAAGGCCUUCGGGUUGUAAAGCACUUUUGGCGGGAACGAAAAGGACUGUGCCAAUACCACGGUUCGAUGACGGUACCCGCAGAAUAAGCACCGGCUAACUACGUG
rnacentral:rRNA from 1 species